rnacentral:ncRNA from 1 species
UAUGAAACGUAGAAGAGGAUUAGUAUAAUUUAUUGUCUUUUCAAGAGAGGAAAUGGCUGCUGGAAAUUUCUAAAGACAUAAGUAGGAACCUGCCUCCGAGUUCGCCAUCGUUAAAGCCUUGUUGCUGUAAGGUGUGCGCGGUCUUUGACCGUUAUCAAUUCAAGUGUACAGGAUAUCCUGUAAACAAGGGUGGUACCACCAGACCUCGGUCCCUUUU